rnacentral:piRNA from 1 species
UUAACCCACGCGGUAUUCGACCU